AUUGAACGCUGGCGGCAGGCUUAACACAUGCAAGUCGAACGAGUGGCGGACGGGUGAGUAAUGCUUGGGAAUCUAGCUUAUGGAGGGGGAUACCUACGGGAAACUGUAGCUAAUACCGCGUACCAUAGGUUGAGCCCAAGUGGGAUUAGGUAGUUGGUGAGGGAAAGACUCACCAGGCCGACGAUCGCUAGCUGGUCUGACAGGAUGACCAGCCAAACUGGGACGGAGCCACGUCCCAGAUUCCUACGGUAGGCAGCAGAGGGGAAUAUUGCGCAAUGGGCGCAAGCCUGAUGCAGCCAUGCCGCGUGUAUGAAGAGGGCCUUCGGGUUGUAAAGUACUUUCAGUCGGGAGGCGUUACCGACAGAAGAAGCACCGGCUAACUCCGUGCCAGCCGCGGCGGUAAUAC
rnacentral:rRNA from 1 species